GACGAACGCUGGCGGCGUGCUUAACACAUGCAAGUCGAACGGAAAGGCCCUGCUUUUGUGGGGUGCUCGAGUGGCGAACGGGUGAGUAACACGUGAGUAACCUGCCCUUGACUUUGGGAUAACUUCAGGAAACUGGGGCUAAUACCGGAUAGGAGCUCCUGCUGCAUGGUGGGGGUUGGAAAGUUUCGGCGGUUGGGGAUGGACUCGCGGCUUAUCAGCUUGUUGGUGGGGUAGUGGCUUACCAAGGCUUUGACGGGUAGCCGGCCUGAGAGGGUGACCGGCCACAUGGGGACUGAGAGACGGACCAGACUCCUACGGGAGGCAGCAGGGGGGAAUAUUGCACAAUGGGCGGAAGCCUGAUGCAGAAACGCCGCGUGCGGGAUGACGGCCUUCGGGUUGUAAACCGCUUUAGCCUGUGACGAAGCGUGAGUGACGGUAAUGGGUAAAGAAGCACCGGCUAACUACGUG
rnacentral:rRNA from 1 species